AGGACAUUCAUCAUAGCAUCCAGCAAAUGGAAAACUACUAAAUUGUUGAUACUGCAUAGAUCUAUGAGCAUGUCCUUGGGAUAUAAAUCUGGAAAGUAGGACAGUGGUGGGCUCAGGCUCCAGGCAUCUCUUGAUCACUAAAACAUCUUUUCUUCAUGUCCUUCCCAUCCCCCUUCUUCCCCAUCUCUUUGUCUCGCACAGGCCAGCCCUGCGCCAAUAAUCGUCAACACCGACACGCUGGAGUCGGUACCUUAUGUCAACGGCACAGAAAUUGAGUAUGAAUUUGAAGAAAUCACUCUUGAGCGGGUG